CCUACGGGGGGCAGCAGUGAGGAAUAUUGGUCAAUGGGCGCGAGCCUGAACCAGCCAAGUAGCGUGAAGGAUGACGGCCCUACGGGUUGUAAACUUCUUUUAUAAAGGAAUAAAGUGAGGCACGUGUACCUUUUUGGAUGUACUUUAUGAAUAAGGAUCGGCUAACUCCGUGCCAGCAGCCGCGGUAAUACGGAGGGUCCGAGCGUUAUCCGGAUUUAUUGGGUUUAAAGGGAGCGUAGAGGGGUUGUUAAGACAGAUGUGAAAGGCUCGGGCUCAACCGGAAAAUUGCAAUGGAAACUGGCAGUCUUGAGUACGGUUGAGGUAGGCGGAAUUCGUGGUGUAGCGGUGAAAUGCUUAGAUAUCACGAAGAACUCCGAUUGCGAAGGCAGCUUACUAAACUGCCACUGACGUUGAUGCUCGAAAGUGUGGGUAUCAAACAGGAUUAGAUACCCCAGUAGUC
rnacentral:rRNA from 1 species